ACAGUUUUUCACGCGUUUCUUUAUCUGUCAGGUCCAGAAAAGAAUGGUCUGUAGACGCCAUCAUCAUUCUCAGCAACAUUAAACGUCAGCAACAGACUACUUCCUCUUCCGGAAAAAUAGGGGGAGGACUACAGCAUCCAAUGGAUACAGCAGGAGUUAACGAUACUACCGCUGCACCAUCAAGAGUGUCUUGACCAACUGCAUCGCGGCCUGGGACGGGAAUUUCUCCAUCCACGACCGCAAGACCCUCCAGAGGGUGUUGAAGAAGGCCAAGUACAACACUGGGACCGUGCUCUGAUCCAUUCAGGACACCCACUCGAAACUGUGCCUGUGGAAGGACCGCAGCAUCAUCAAGGACCCCAUACACCCCAACCACGAGCUGUUCACUCCCUUACCGUCGGAUAGAUGGUAUCGGAGCAUGAGGUCUGAUACCAACAGGCUCAGAGACUGUUUCUACACAGCAAAUGUUCUAGUGUUAAAUCAACACAGACUAUAGUCUGUAUUGGUCCACACUUUUGAGUGUUAAAUUAACACUGUGCUUAGUGCUGACCCUGUUACCCUUUGUCAGUGUUAGAGAAUUAACAUUGUUAUGCAAUACACCCUGUGUAGUAUUUUUAACACUAUGAAGUGUAUAUAAUUUACACCAUUGGUGUUAUGCAAUAAAACCUCAUAUAGUAUUUUAACCAUUACACAAGUAUUUCGCUACAUCCGCAAUAACAUCUGCUAAACAAGUGUAUGUAACCCUAAAAAUAUAUUUUGAUUUGAAGAGGUUGAAAAGGUGUUGGGUUAAUGACAUUACAAUAAUAGUCUUUAUUGCCGCAUGCAAGUGCUUUUAAAGACUUUACAACUGGCAGGAGACAUACUCACACUAUAAAUAAACAUAACAAUAGCCUACUAAAACUGGUACAACACUUCCACUCACGGGUCACCACUAAGCCAUUCCUCAAUAUAAUUACCCAGUGUGCCUUGACUUUUCAAGUGAAUUGUAGAGUUACCACCUAUUACUGUAUUUGUUAGAGACAUGGUUGUUGAAUUCAUACUGUACAUGUUCAGUCCUGUGGACCUCAAGUGAGUUUCUACUUUAGGCAAAUGCCAUCAUUAAAAUUAAUCUCUUUA